GGAUCGAGUCUAGAGUGUUUCAUUUAGGAUUGUUGCAUAUGCAUAAGGGAUAAUG
rnacentral:sRNA from 1 species